rnacentral:rRNA from 2 species
CGCCUCUUGUCCCUCAGAAUAUAAGAGGUCCCGCCUGCCCUGUGACUAUAUGUUUAACGGCCGCGGUAUCUUAACCGUGCGAAGGUAGCGUAAUCACUUGUCUUUUAAAUGAAGACCUGUAUGAAUGGCAUCACGAGGGCUUAACUGUCUCCCCUCUCCAGUCAAUGAAAUUGACCUCCCCGUGCAGAGGCGGGGAUAUUUCUAUAAGACGAGAAGACCCUGUGGAGCUUUAGACCUAAAAUAAACCACGUUUAAUAUACUAAAAUUAAUAGCAAAAACUUAGUGGACAUUUAUUUAAGUGUCUUUGGUUGGGGCGACCGCGGAGUAAAACACAACCUCCAUGUGGACGGGGAUACUAUCCCUAAAACUCAGAGCCUCCACUCCAAGCAACAGAAAUUCUGACCUCACUGAUCCGGUACAGCCGAUUAACGAACCCAGUUACCCCAGGGAUAACAGCGCAAUCCCCUCUCAGAGCUCAUAUCGACGAGGGGGUUUACGACCUCGAUGUUGGAUCAGGACAUCCUAGUGGUGCAGCCGCUAUUGAGGGUUCGUUUGUUCAACGAUUAAAGUCCU